rnacentral:sRNA from 1 species
UACUACCGGACGGCUCGCCAGCAGAGCCAAC